rnacentral:rRNA from 1 species
CGGGAAACUGAGGAUAAUACCCGAUAGGUCUCGAUUGCUGGAAUGCAUCGAGAUUUAAAGCUGCGGCGCCUAAGGAUGGGUCAGCGGACUAUCAGGUAGUAGUGGUUGUAGCGUACCUACUAGCCUACGACGGGUACGGGUUGUGAGAGCAAGAGCCCGGAGAUGGAUUCUGAGACACGAAUCCAGGCCCUACGGGGUGCAGCAUGCGCGAAAACUUUACAAUGCUGGCAACAGCGAUAAGGGAACCUCGAGUGCCAGGUUACAAAUCUGGCUGUCGAGAUGCCUAAAAAGCAUUUCAUAGCAAGGGCCGGGCAAGACCGGUGCCAGCCGCCGCGGUAACA